ACUCAAAUGAAUAGACGGGGGCCCGCACAAGCGGAGGAACAUGUGGUUUAAUUCGAUGAUACGCGAGGAACCUUACCCGGGUUUGAACGGCGUUCGGCGUCGGGCGAAAGUUCGGCAUCAGCAAUGACGGACGUCGAGGUGCUGCAUGGUUGUCGUCAGCUCGUGCCGUGAGGUGUCGGGUUAAGUCCCAUAACGAGCGCAACCCCUGCCGACAGUUGCCAACGAGUAAAGUCGGGGACUCUGUCGGGACAGCCGGUGUAAACCGCGAGGAAGGCGGGGAUGACGUCAAAUCAGCACGGCCCUUACAUUCGGGGCUACACACGUGUUACAAUGGACGGUACAGAGGGCAGCCAGUCUGCGAAGGCGUGCGAAUCCUCAAAUCCGUUCCCAGUUCGGAUCGGAGUCUGCAACCCGACUCCGUGAAGCCGGAUUCGCUAGUAAUCGCGCAUCAGCCACGGCGCGGUGAAUACGUUCCCGGGCCUUGUACACACCGCCCGU
rnacentral:rRNA from 1 species